UGGGGAAUAUUGGACAAUGGGCGAAAGCCUGAUCCAGCAAUACCGAGUGAGUGAUGAAGGCCCUAGGGUUGUAAAGCUCUUUUAGAAAGGAAGAUAAUGACGUUACUUGCAGAAAAAGCCCCGGCUAACUCCGUGCCAGCAGCCGCGGUAAGACGGAGGGGGCUAGCGUUGUUCGGAAUUACUGGGCGUAAAGAGUGCGUAGGCGGUUUAGUAAGUUGGAAGUGAAAGCCCGGGGCUUAACCUCGGAAUUGCUUUCAAAACUACUAAUCUAGAGUGUAGUAGGGGAUGAUGGAAUUCCUAGUGUAGAGGUGAAAUUCUUAGAUAUUAGGAGGAACACCGGUGGCGAAGGCGGUCAUCUGGGCUACAACUGACGCUGAUGCACGAAAGCGUGGGGAGCAAACA
rnacentral:rRNA from 1 species